AAGGUAGCGCAAUCACUUGUUCUUUAAAUGAGGACUAGUAUGAACGGCAUCACGAGGAUUACACUGUCUCCCCCCCUAAAUCAAUGAAACUGAUCCCCCCGUGAAGAAGCGGGGAUAAAUAUAUAAGACGAGAAGACCCUAUGGAGCUUUAAACUAAACACCACUUACCUUUAACCACUCCCUUACAAACAGGUAAAGAUCGUGUGUGUUUUCAGUUGGGGUGACUGCGGAGCAAAAUAAAACCUCCACGAUGAAACAAUCCUCUAAUCUAAGAACAACAUUUCAAAGAAUCAACAAAUUGACAUAAAUUGACCCAAAUAUUAAUUUGAUCAACGAACCAAGUUACCCUAGGGAUAACAGCGCAAUCCAUUUCAAGAGCUCAUAUCGACAAAUGGGUUUACGACCUCGAUGUUGGAUCAGGGUAUCCCAGUGGUGCAGCCGCUACUA
rnacentral:rRNA from 1 species